GCUGUGUGUAGUGGUGCACACCUGUAAUCCCAGCUGCUUGGGAGGCUGAGGCAGGAGGAUUGCAAACUCAAGGCUAGCAAGACUAACCUCAGCUGCUUAGCAAGACUCAGCUGCUUAGCAAGACUCUGUCUCAA
rnacentral:sRNA from 1 species